AACGAACGCUGGCGGCAUGCCUAACACAUGCAAGUCGAACGAUGCCUUCGGGCAUAGUGGCGCACGGGUGCGUAACGCGUGGGAAUCUGCCUUUCGGUUCGGAAUAACUCAGGGAAACUUGAGCUAAUACCGGAUAACGUCGCAAGACCAAAGAUUUAUCACCGAAAGAUGAGCCCGCGUAGGAUUAGCUAGUUGGUGAGGUAAAGGCUCACCAAGGCGACGAUCCUUAGCUGGUCUGAGAGGAUGAUCAGCCACACUGGGACUGAGACACGGCCCAGACUCCUCCGGGAGGCAGAAGGGGGGAAUAUUGGACAACGGCGGAAAGCAUGAUCGAGCAAUGCCGCGUGAGUGAUGAAGGCAUUAGGGUUGUAAAGCGCUUUUACCCGGGAAGAUAAUGACGGUACCGGGAGAAAAAGCCCCGGCUAACUCCGUG
rnacentral:rRNA from 1 species